GUUGUUUGGCAAGUGGGAGGAAGUGUCACAGCUCUUUUAUUUCUGCCACCCACAGCUUGGUGAGUAGGAGCAUUACAGCUCUUUUGCUCCCACAGUUCAGCAAAUUCUGAGUUCCUGUCCCAUGACCAAGAGGAAUGAGGAACAUGGACACCGGAGAAUGAGUAAGGCAGAGUAGAAUUUUAUUCAUCAGCGAGAGGGGACCUGAAAGCAGGUCGCCAUCUGUGAGGAUUAAAGUUAGGACCAAAUGCUGCUCAGAAAUUGUUUUAAUCUCAAAAGUAGUUGGCAAGUUUUCAGAGUUCAUUUUCAAGGCCUGGUGUAUGUGAAACAACUGAACAUUCAGAGCUAUUUCAUUUUCAAAGAUUCUCACAUGGUGUUGAAUAGUGUCCCCUAAAAAAUCAUGCCCACCUGGAACCUCAGAAUGUGACCUUAUUUGGAAAUCGGGUGUGCAGAUGAAAUUAGUUAGGGAUCUCAAAAUGAAGUCACUGUAUUAUUAUUGUAGAUGAUUAUGUACACUAAGUUCAAGGACUGACGUCCUUAUAAAAAGAGAGGGUACACACACAGCCAACAGAGAGAAGAAGGUCAUACGAAGACACGCAGAAUUUGGACUUAUGCGGUCACAAGUCAAGGAGUGCUUGGAGCUACCGGGAGAUGGAAGAGUCAAGGCAGGAUUUUCCCUGGAAGAUUUGGAAGGAACAUAUUUCUCCUGAAACCUUGAUUCUAGCCUUCACUAAUGACAGAGAAUAAAUUUCUGUUCUUUUAAGCCACUCAGUUUGUGGUACUUUGUCUUACAGAAACCCUGGGACACUAAUAAAUUUCCUAAGUGGUAUACAUAACAUCUUCUAACAUUAUGAUUCUAUGGAAUGCUUUGAUAAUCAGCUAAAAGUUAUCGGCUGUCUCCCAGGAAAGAUGCACAAACAUACAUAUUCAACAUUUUGUGUUCAAUUUUUCAAGUUUCCAGGAUUUCCAGGGCCUCUCUACAGAUCCUCUUCGUAUCUACACAGCUGAUUGUGAACUCUGUUCUUAUACAAUGUAUCCAAAGUAAAUUAACUACAAUACAACUGUGAUUAUGCCAUUCCAAAUUAUAAAUAUUAACAUCCUUUCUGAACUACAAGACCCUCUACAGUAUGACUGCAUUUGUACAUACUGCAGCUCUCCUGCUGAACCAUCCUUUGUUCUUAUCAUACCAAACACAUACGUUUCCAGGACACACUAUGCCUCUGUGCCUUUGCACAUGCUAUGCGCUGCCUGGGACUCCCUAACUUCCAUCUGCACAUAACCUUCUAAUGAAUUUCCAGGCAUUCUGGAAGUUUUAUAUCACUCAUUUUAUCUAUGAAUCAAAUGAUCUCACUGACAAAGUAUUAUGUUGCUUUUACAACAUGAUUCAAGUCCUUGACUGUGACGUAUUCCUGAAAUACAAGGUGCUUUAUUUUGAGUGUAAGAAAAUUUUAAUUAUAAUAUUAUAUUGUAAUAUGUGGUUUAAAUUUCUAUAUGCAUGCAUCAUAUUUCCAAUUUCUUACAGAAAAGAAUUAUUAUAAUUGUAUAAUAUAUAAUGUAUAACACUAAAUAUACUAUAGUAUUAAAACUAUAGGCUUUUAUUUCAAUUGGUGAAGAUUAAAAUCUUAGAAUCAUGAUCUGUGGGCAUUCUGACCUUGACUAAAUGCAUACACUUUAUGUAUCUAAGCUUUCUUCACUGUAAACUGGUAAAAAUGCACUUAAUUCAAAAAAUUGUGAGGAUCAAAGUAAAGUCUAAAACUUUAGUACGGCAUCAGGUAUGUAGUAAGAAUUAACUUUACAGUGGUUAUAUUUAGCAAAUCUUAUUAGUUUAUACAUUUAUAAGACUAUAGCAACAUGUCUUAGUUUAUAAGUAAUACCUCAAACCCUUUAUUUUCCUGGUAAUUUAUCCACUGAAGAAAGUGAGCUUUGUUGAUUGCAUACUCAUGGUUCAGUUCGAUGUGGUCAUUUUUCUCUUUACAUUCUGCUAAAUGGCUGCUGGAUUUAGAGAUUUUCAUCCCUUUGACAUGGUUAUAGAUGAUUAUAGAUAGUAUCUGGAAAGAUCUAUUAAAAAAUGCUAUCUGGUUGUCUAUCUUUUUGUGAUUUUAGUAGCCAUUAAUGCUACUACUUGUAUCUAUUAAUUCAUUGGCAGUUGCAAUAUGAAAGUAUUCUAAUGCUAUCACUUCUCUUUUUUAUUAUUAUCUGAGAUGUUGUUAUACAGAGACACAUUCCAGCAUCAAUUAUGUGGUAAUCCAGUGGUUGAUAUGGGAAGGCAGUGUGAAUGUUUAUUUUUUUAAAUGAAUCUAAA
rnacentral:lncRNA from 1 species